GAUGAACGCUAGCUACAGGCUUAACACAUGCAAGUCGAGGGGCAGCAUGACGAUAGCUUGCUAUUGUUGAUGGCGACCGGCGCACGGGUGAGUAACGCGUAUCCAACCUUCCCGUUGCUAGGGGAUAACCUUGCGAAAGUAAGACUAAUACCCUAUGAUGUUCUUCGCAGACAUCUAAAGAGAACCAAAGAUUUAUCGGCAACGGAUGGGGAUGCGUCUGAUUAGCUUGUUGGCGGGGUAACGGCCCACCAAGGCUACGAUCAGUAGGGGUUCUGAGAGGAAGGUCCCCCACAUUGGAACUGAGACACGGUCCAAACUCCUACGGGAGGCAGCAGUGAGGAAUAUUGGUCAAUGGGCGAGAGCCUGAACCAGCCAAGUAGCGUGCAGGACGACGGCCCUAUGGGUUGUAAACUGCUUUUAUAAGGGAAUAAAGUUAGUCUCGUGAGACUUUUUGCAUGUACCUUAUGAAUAAGGACCGGCUAAUCCGUG
rnacentral:rRNA from 1 species